rnacentral:rRNA from 1 species
UACGGAGGGUGCAAGCGUUGUUCGGAAUUACUGGGCGUAAAGCGCGUGUAGGCGGAUUGAGUAGUCGGGUGUGAAAUCCCUCGGCUUAACUGAGGAAGUGCGCCCGAAACCAUCAAUCUGGAGGUCCGGAUGGGACCGGGGAAUUCCCAGUGUAGAGGUGAAAUUCGUAGAUAUUGGGAAGAACACCGGUGACGAAGGUGCCGGUCUGGACGGAUUCUGACGCUGAUACGCGAAAGCAUGGGGAG